UACGGGGGGGGCAAGCGUUGUUCGGAAUUACUGGGCGUAAAGGGCUCGUAGGUGGCCAACUAAGUCAUACGUGAAAUCCCUCGGCUUAACCGGGGAACUGCGUCUGAUACUGGAUGGCUUGAGGUUGGGAGAGGGAUGCGGAAUUCCAGGUGUAGCGGUGAAAUGCGUAGAUAUCUGGAGGAACACCGGUGGCGAAGGCGGCAUCCUGGGAAGACCCUGACGCUGAUGUGCGAAAGCUAGGGGAGCGAACGGG
rnacentral:rRNA from 1 species